UCCACAACUCCGACGAACUUAAGACGA
rnacentral:snRNA from 1 species